UUGUGACUGAUCGCUUAAACAACGCUAUAUAACAUCGCAGCUAGCGGUUUUGUUCUCCCUAGGAAUCCAUCAACACUGUUCUAGAACGAUAGGAGGGAGCGAAGAACUCGCAGAUAUUUCUAUCAUGUGUCGCCAGCAGAGAUCAAGGCUUGCGGUUCUUCUUCUUGUGCUUCUUCUUGUGCUGCUGCCGCCACUCCCGGUGGAAUCGUCCGCGCACCGGAGGCUCCUCCAAAAGGAUUUGGAGUUUGAUUUGCGACGCUUCCUCCAGUCGCUCAUGGUGGAGAGCAAGAGGCAUGGCGGGCUGCUCGUAGCGGAGCUCCAUCGCGUGCCAAGCAGCCCGAAUCCAAUACAGAACGAAUUCACGGACGAAGUCCACCAUUGAGAAUUCGGCAAUUCUCCGCAUCAAAUUGGCCCGCUCGCUCGCUCGAUCCAAUCCAAGAGAUCGAUUUCGGUAGUCGCCAAAUCGUGAACGCAGCGAGUAAUUCCGAGGCUUCUAGUUACAUAUACUCUCUUGCCCCUCGUGACACUCCGCGAGCGCAAGCUUACAAACAUCCCAAUCAAUCGAUCAAGAGCACGAGAAACUUGGUCAGGAACAGCGGAGAGUCCUUCAAAGUUACAAGUAAUAGUUUAGAGAAAUCGCUUGUCUUUUCUUGUGUGCUUUUGUGGCUCUGGGAUUCCAUCGCUCUGAAUGAGGAGAAACCCAAACCCAUCUAUCAUCUAAUUCGCAAGUUUUCUCGCUCGAUCAUA